UGGAACUUGAGCUCUGUUAAGGGGAGAAGUUUUGUAAAGUUUUAUUAAAAGUACGCAAAAUUCCUGCGCCCGUUGCUCGUCAGGGAGGUGCUCCCGCCGAACUCGGCCCCGCGCCCAGGGCUCGCGGACGGCCAGACGCGGACGCGCGGCAGGGCCCCGAACGUCUUCAGGCCCCGCGCACGCCGCCGCUGCCGCGCGCCGGGACGUCGCCGCCCUCGAGCGCGAGCACGUGCGCGCGCACCGGCGAGCCGGCCUGAAGCUGCGGGAGGUCUCGAGCCUGCGGGGCGAGUUGCGAGCGAGUUUGGAGCGUUUCACUUGACCUUUUCUGCUGUGGGUGGCGUUCUGCAUGCACAAUUGGCCUUUAUACCCCAGGACGACGGAUUCCCGCAGGUUCACUAUCACUCUCGUUGACUGGUCGGCUGACACCCUGGAAAAGCUGAAACCUGAGAGCCUCUUAAUUUCACCUUGUUGUUUCUCGGGACACAUUCUUUCUCCAUAUACCACUAAAUCUGUGAUGUACUCUAUGUGGUGACCACUGUAGGAAUAACAGAUUGACAAAUGUAUUCUGUUCUGGAAGGAAUUUUUACUUGGAAAAGACUCUCAAGGCAAUUUGAGACUAUAAAUUGAUGAGGUGGUCAUAUUUUUUAUUUUUUAUUCAGUGUUUUUAUUUUAUUUUUUUAAUUUUUUUUUAUUCAGUGUUUUUAAAUUUGACUGUUACUGUGCGUUUUACUGUCUCCCAUGUGACUUAAUCAGUGCUGGAAACUCUGGGCCAAGCAAUACACUGUCAGUUGUCCAAGAGUGGAGUUGCUGAAUGAUCCCGCCUGCUUCAUUGGAAGAUGCCACUAGAAGAGGGCAGUUUGGAACUCGUCGUUUCUCUGGGAGACAAAGAAGCUUCCCUCUGAAGUUAAAUCACAUUAUUUGGUAUACGUACUGUGAACUCUUGGGAGAGUUUGAACAACCUGGCGAGAUCUGAUUUGACUUGAAACCUGGAACAUGGUUGUGUUCUUUUAUUUCAUUUGUUGUUUGAUUUAAGGGUCAGCAUUACUGACCACUGUCCCCAGUACGUUUCCACCACUCUGAGGGCUAGAAGUAGAGGAAUCUGCCCUGAUGGUCUGGGGAAAGAACCACAGACCUAAAGUGAACAGGUACAUCAUCAUCAUGAGUCAUCAGUUGUCUGGUGACACUCAUUUGAAUAGCACAACCCACAGGGAUUCAAGGUUAAAACACAACAUGUAAGGGGGCGCCUGGGUGGUUCAGUGGGUUAGGCCGCUGCCUUCAGCUCAGGUCAUGAUCUCAGGGUCCUGGGAUCGAGCCCCGCAUCGGGCUCUCUGCUCAGCAGGGAGCCUGCU